CUAAAACAAAGAUUAAAUGAAGGAAUAAUCCAAACAGGAAAUCAUUAUCACCUACGAGUGCUAUGCCCUCAAGAGUGAUCAUCAAAACUCCAGUCAAAUGAGUGCUGUGCCUGCAGCCCUGUUUGAAGUCAGUCUGGAGAAGAAUCCUGCGCAAUCUGAGCAGUAGCACUAACCAACCCACACAAGAACGGGCAAGUUCCUGCCUUGUCACUGAGCCCAUCUCCUCAUCUGUGAAAGGGGCAUAGGCAACACUGAUUCAGUCACCAAAGAAAAGAGCCAAACCUGAGUGCCACGUCCAUUUCGUUAGCCUGCAGCACAGCAC